rnacentral:rRNA from 1 species
GACGAACGCUGGCGGCGCGCCUAACACAUGCAAGUCGAACGAGCGAGAGAGAGCUUGCUUUCUCGAGCGAGUGGCGAACGGGUGAGUAACGCGUGAGGAACCUGCCUCAAAGGGGGGGACAACAGUUGGAAACGACUGCUAAUACCGCAUAAGCCCACGGGUCGGCAUCGACCAGAGGGAAAAGGAGCAAUCCGCUUUGAGAUGGCCUCGCGUCCGAUUAGCUAGUUGGUGAGGUAAUGGCCCACCAAGGCGACGAUCGGUAGCCGGACUGAGAGGUUGAACGGCCACAUUGGGACUGAGACACGGCCCAGACUCCUACGGGAGGCAGCAGUGGGGAAUAUUGCACAAUGGGGGAAACCCUGAUGCAGCGACGCCGCGUGGAGGAAGAAGGUCUUCGGAUUGUAAACUCCUGUUGUUGGGGAAGAUAAUGACGGUACCCAACAAGGAAGUGACGGCUAACUACGUG